AAUAUCAAAGGUGAGCCAGUACAGGAUGGACCCGCGUCUGAUUAGCUAGUUGGUAAGGUAACGGCUUACCAAGGCGACGAUCAGUAGCCGACCUGAGAGGGUGAUCGGCCACAUUGGAACUGAGACACGGUCCAAACUCCUACGGGAGGCAGCAGUGGGGAAUAUUGCACAAUGGGCGAAAGCCUGAUGCAGCAACGCCGCGUGAGUGAUGAAGGCCUUCGGGUCGUAAAACUCUGUCCUCAAGGAAGAUAAUGACGGUACUUGAGGAGGAAGCCCCGGCUAACUACGUGCCAGCAGCCGCGGUAAUACGUAGGGGGCUAGCGUUAUCCGGAUUUACUGGGCGUAAAGGGUGCGUAGGCGGUCUUUCAAGUCAGGAGUGAAAGGCUACGGCUCAACCGUAGUAAGCUCUUGAAACUGGGAGACUUGAGUGCAGGAGAGGAGAGUGGAAUUCCUAGUGUAGCGGUGAAAUGCGUAGAUAUUAGGAGGAACACCAGUUGCGAAGGCGGCUCUCUGGACUGUAACUGACGCGGAGGCACGAAAGCGUGGGGAGCAAACAGGAUUAGAUACCCUGGUAGUCCACGCUGUAAACGAUGAGUACUAGGUGUCGGGGGUUACCCCC
rnacentral:rRNA from 1 species